CGGGUGAGUAACGCGUGGGUAACCUACCUUUCAGCGGGGGAUAACUAUUGGAAACGAUAGCUAAUACCGCAUAACAAUGUUGGAUGCAUAUUCGACAUUUGAAAGUACCAAUUGGUACACUGAGAGAUGGACCCACGUUGUAUUAGCUAGUUGGUAGUGUAAUGGACUACCAAGGCGAUGAUACAUAGCCGACCUGAGAGGGUGAUCGGCCACAUUGGGACUGAGACACGGCCCAAACUCCUACGGAAGGCAGCAG
rnacentral:rRNA from 1 species